CUCUUUCUUCCUAAUCCUCGCAGGACAAACCAAUUGAAUGGUUAUAUACAGCCUCUGGCUAUUUCAUGAGGUUUUAUUAUCUUUCAUCUUUGGUUUUUUCAGUUACUGAAUUUAGUUGCUUGAACUUGAUAGCGUGUGUUCAGAAGAUAAUUAGGACCUUUGAGAUGAAUAUGGAUCGAUAUUGUAGAUGUAUGACAGUAGAAUUUCUAUCUGUUCUAUGUGUUGAUAUUGUUAAGUAAUAUUUAUCUAGUUUUAUUUAUUAAGGGUAGAAUAGUAUUUUCAGUUUAACCUAUAUAUAAUUCCUUUGUAUUUAGGUUAACUUAAGCACUCAUAAUAAACAUCUUAUUGAGAAUUCUAGUAUCUUUUUAUGUUUCAUCUGAAUUACUUUAACAUGGUAUCAGAGUCUAGUUGAUCGAACCCUUGGCUUGUUAAUUUUAUGAAACUCGCUGCCCUUGUAGAAAUCAUGUUCACCAAUGUCAAAGCCACUGCUCGUAUCAAAAUCGUUAUCAUCAUCCAUUUCAUUUCUUGUAAGAUGUUCCAGCACGCUCAAUGCAUUCCUUUGAAGCUUAACUUCAGAUUCAUUUUUCAAAACAUCAGACAUGGGUUGUUUGACGUAUUAAAAGAUGGAGGAUGAAAAUCAAGUUUUGUGCUUGCGGCUGAAGAAUUAAUAUCUGAAACUUUAUUUUAGAUUCUUCAGCUUCUGCAAUUUGGUAUUUCUAUUCUGUCUCUGCAAUUGUUUUGGUAUUUCGUCUUCUCUUCAGUUUUUGCAAUUUGGUAUUUCUGUUCUGUCUCUGCAAUUCUUUUGGUAUUUCGUCUUCUCUUCAGUUUCUGCAAUUUGGUAUCAGCUUCUGCAAUUUAGUAUUUCUGUUCUGUCUCUGCAAUUCUUUUGGUAUUUCGUCUUCUCUUCAGUUUCUACAAUUUGGUAUUUGAAUUAACUUUCUGCAAGAAAAAUAAAAAAAUUUGGAGUGAUAUUUUGUCUUCCGCUUCUACACAAUCUGGUAUUUCGACUUUCCUACAGCUUCUGUCAUGGCAUCUACUACCAAAGAGAUUGUUUGGUUACGUUAGUUACUUGCUGAUAUGAGAGUUUUAUUUUCUCAUCCUACUCCUAUGAAUUGUGACAACCAGAGUUCUAUUCAGAUUGCUCACAACUCGGUUUUUAUGAGCGAACUAAGCACAUUGAGAUCGAUUGUCAUCUUACUCGUCAUCAUCUCAAGCAUGACACCAUUACUUUGCUUUUUGUUCAUUCUUCCUUGCAGAUUGUAGAUUUCUUUACCAAGACACAUUCCAUAUCUCGUUUUCGUUUUCUAGUUGGCAAACUCUCGAUGCUUGUAGAUGCCGCAUCGUGAGUUUGAGGGGAGAUGUUAAGUAAUAUUUAUCUAGUUUUAUUUAUUAAGGGUAAAAUAGUAUUUUCAGUUUAACCUAUAUAUAAUUCCUUUGUAUUUAGGUUAACUUAAGCACUCAUAAUAAGCAUCUUAUUGAGAAUUCUAGCCCUUUUUUAUGUUUCAUCUGAAUUACUUUAACAGAUAUGACUACAUGUCUCCACUAGAAUAGUUCCUUCUUGGAUGUUAUAGUGAUUGGCCAAAUGUGAGCAUAAUGACACUCCUACAAAUUCAUGGCAUUAUAGUUCUCAGAGAUAAAACAAGCACGCUAUGUUUGCAGGUGACAGUCUGCAUUUUUAACUUGAUAUUUUUGCUUUUAAAGAGUUCAAAUCCGUGAUAGGGUGGUAACUUAAUUAUAGGUUGGCAAUAAGUAGCUGUGAGCUUAGCCCAAAUGAUUAUGUAAAGUUGCUAGAUCUAAUAUACAUAGUCGAGCCCAAAUCAUUGUGGGUCUUACAAGUUGUCAAACUCAUCUCGUCUGGGUUUGGCAACACGUCGAACCAGUUGGUAUUUGAGAUCCAUAUAGAGGCUCAAUGUGCUAUCUCAAGACUAUUAACAUAAUUUAUUCAUGUUAAUAAUAAUCAUCUUUUUAUAUUUAUAGAUGUGUAAAAGGUUUUCCAAUAAGUUUAUUAUAUUUUCAUCUCAUUAAUAAUCUGUAAGGGAUAUUUAUCUUUUAUUAAUAUCAUAAGAGCAAAUAAUUUCUUGAUCCUUCCACUCCAUAAAAACAAUAAGGUUUAGGGACUAUAAAUACCCUUGAACUUGAAUUAUCCUGGUAAAAGAUUCACAACUUUUCAUACUUUAAAAGUUUAUAUAUCUUAGGGCAUUAAUCACACAAAAACAAGAACAAAUGUUUUUGUUCUUGGAAUUUAAAGUUUUUUCUUUCAAUUAUUGCUUUUCCUGUUUAAAGUUACUAUUUUAUUAUCAAAUGAUUUUUAAAUCCCAUUGAUAAUGAGUGUUUUUGUAGGCACAAAAACUUUUACUAUUAUUUUUGUACAUCCUAGGCUAAAAGGAAGAAAAUAAUGAUAUGAACUUUUAAAUAACCAUUAUCCAAUCACAAAAUAAAUUGUUCCUUGAAUAUGCUAGAUUUUGAAACAUCAUCAGCAGGUAUCAGUAUUACAUGCUUCAAAUUUUCAAAAUUUAUUAUAUGUGCAAGUCCUUGAUUUCCUUUUCUUCUUUUCGAUAUGUCCGGAGAUGCUUUACGUUGCUAUAUUUUGGUGAUGCUGAUAGUAGCAUUGUAAGAGAAACCUGGGCUAGACUAAUCGAUCAAGCUCUUUCAAGGGGUGGUGUUGCGGAAGCUUGUUCAGUACUGAAGAGGGUUGGUUCCUGCAUGUAUCCUGGAGAGGGAACUCUUCUACCUUUAGACACCCUAUGCCUUCACCUUGAUAAGGCUGCACUGGAGAGACUGGAAUCAGAGAUUGAAACUCAGGAGAUGAAGACGUAGCAAGAGCUCUUCUUGCUGCUUGCUAGGGUGCAAUUGAACCUGUAUCAAGCACUUAUGAUCAGUUAUUAUCGAAUGGAGCUAUCUUCCCAUCUCCCAACCUUAGGCUACGCCUUCUGCGAUCUGUGCUUGUGGUACUCCGUGAAUGGGCGAUGAUUGUAUUUGCCAGAGGAUGGGUACAAGCGCUGCUGGAGCUUCAUUAAAAUUAGUUGGAUCAUUCUCACUGGAACAAAUUGUUGUCAUUAUUAACCAAGGGAUUCGUGAUAAGAUCACGAGUGCAGCAAACAGGUACAUGACAGAGGUGAGGAGGCUGCCCCUUCCCCGGAGCAGGACUGAAGCUGUUUACCAAGGAUUUCGAGGACUUGAAGAGUCCCUGAUAAGUCCUUUUUCUUGACAGAUUUUGAUUCUUUAGUGUUCCAUAGUUGUUGUAUGGAAAGGUUUAUUGUCGUCCCUAAGGGGAGUAGCAUGAUGGCAAAAGGCUUAAAAUCUGUACAGCAGGUCUCGAAUUCGAGUCAAGGCGUACAUCUCUUGUAAGAGCUUAGGACAGCUGGGGUUUUACUCACUCAUCUGGACUCACAAAACGCACUUUUCAGGAGAUGAGAUUUCCUCGAAUCCAAAAAAAAAAAAAGGUUUAUUGUCGAUUUGCAAAUAAAAAAUUAGUAGAUGAAGUGGUUGAAAGUCACCAAUUAACGUUAUGGUUUGACAUCUUUAUCAUUUCAAUGUAACAUUGAGUCGCAGUUCAUAGCAAAGCAGAUAUCAAAUUUGAAGGCUGAUGAUGCCAAGAAUCAUAUUAACAAGUUCUUCAAAGAUGACUUGGAGAGGCCAGAAGAAUGAACAGAUGAUGAUUUAUCAAAAUUCUUAGUGGCUGUGAAAAACUUCGGCUAGAUGUAGCCUAAACCCUGCUUGACAAGCAAAUCAGAGGUCCUGUGGGGGUGGAUUCAGUGGCAGGCAUUGUAAUUGGAUGGGGUGGGUACGUUUACCCUACUGAGAAAAGGUAAGUUGCGUUGGUGAGCAAAAGCAAAGCACUCGGUAAUGCGGUGGACGCUGCAUUCUGUGACGGUGCAUGUGCUUGUCUUUUGUCGUGGGGGCAGCAAGCCAAGAACAGUGUUGCAGUUUGCGAGCGGUUUUGCAGCCGGUCAAAAAACACCUGCAAGAGUGUAUAUGGAGAAGAUAUUUCGUUUUUGAUGUAUAUGGUAUUUCUGGAAAUGGAAUUUCGUUUCUUGCUCGGCAGAAAUAAAAUUGCCCGACUUCCCCUGCAGUA